GGGGUUAAACCUUUAAAUGGUUGCUUUCCAAUGAUGUUAGUUAUGGCCUUGCAUCAGCGGGAGCAUGACACCACCCAAUCUGCUGUCAUGUCAUUGCUGCUGUAUGCUGGCCUGUUUCCUGACAUGGUGGCUGCCAUCAGCGAGCGCCGGGUCAGAGAAGGCACUGGCACACCAGUCCAGGAAGACUUGGUGCUUGUUGGAUUUGGCAACUUUGCCACCGUGUCCUUUAAGGACCUUUAUGAGGCGAUGGACCUCGACAGAAAAGACUUCUUCAAGUGGCUGAUGAAGCAGACAGCCAGACCGGGUACAAAGAUGGAAACUCUGCAGAAGUACAUUCAGAGAAGAGAUGCUGAGAUGCUGUCAGAAUCAGCGCCUCCAGUGGUCGCCUCAAUCUCAGCUUCUGCAGAGGAACCAUCUGAUGAAGAUCUGCUUGCUGCAGCGGCACAUAUAGAUGUUCCAGGUGAGCAUUACCUUCCCUUUAAUGGGAUUACAUUUGUGGUUUAAUUAAAGAAUACCGUGCCUUUGUAAAUUGCAUAACCUGUAUGGUUAUUAUGUAUUAUCGGCCUUCAGAUGGAUGGUUUUGAAAACAAUAAGGUAGGAGGUGUACUACACCUUCUGUUCAUGCAGUCUAACAUGGCUUUCUUUCUUUG
ensembl:lncRNA